CCAAUGCGGCUGCCUAAUACAUGCAAGUCGAGCGGAUCUUCAUUAGCUUGCUUUUGAAGAUCAGCGGCGGACGGGUGAGUAACACGUGGGCAACCUGCCUGUAAGACUGGGAUAACUUCGGGAAACCGGAGCUAAUACCGGAUAAUCCUUUCCCUCACAUGAGGGAAAGCUGAAAGACGGUUUCGGCUGUCACUUACAGAUGGGCCCGCGGCGCAUUAGCUAGUUGGUGAGGUAACGGCUCACCAAGGCAACGAUGCGUAGCCGACCUGAGAGGGUGAUCGGCCACACUGGGACUGAGACACGGCCCAGACUCCUACGGGAGGCAGCAGUAGGGAAUCUUCCGCAAUGGACGAAAGUCUGACGGAGCAACGCCGCGUGAACGAUGAAGGCUUUCGGGUCGUAAAGUUCUGUUGUCAGGGAAGAACAAGUACCGGAGUAACUGCCGGUACCUUGACGGUACGUGACCAGAAAGCCACGGCUAACUACGUGCCAGCAGCCGCGGUAAUACGUAGGUGGCAAGCGUUGUCCGGAAUUAUUGGGCGUAAAGCGCGCGCAGGCGGUUCCUUAAGUCUGAUGUGAAAGCCCCCGGCUCAACCGGGGAGGGUCAUUGGAAACUGGGGGAACUUGAGUGCAGAAGAGGAGAGCGGAAUUCCACGUGUAGCGGUGAAAUGCGUAGAGAUGUGGGAGGAACACCAGUGGCGAACGCGGCUCUCUGGGUCUGUAACUGACGCUGAGCGCGAAAGCGUGGGGAGCGAACAGAUUAGAUACCCUGGUAGUCCACGCCGUAACGAUGAGUGCUAGUGUUUAGAGGGAUUUCCGCCCUUUACUGCUGCAGCAAACGCCAUUAGCACUUCGGCUGCGUAGUUACGUCGGCAAGGCUGGAAACUCAAUGAAUGACCGGGGCCCGCACAGCGGUGAACAUGUGAUUUAUUCCGAGCACGUCGACAUCUACCAGGUCUGGACAUCGUUGACAUCUACAAUUGUCGUUGC
rnacentral:rRNA from 1 species